rnacentral:ribozyme from 11 species
AAAAAAAAGAAGAGGGGGGGGGGGGAAAAAAAAGUGUUUUUUUUUUUUUUUUUUUUUUUUUUUCUCCGAUAUUAACAC